ACAGCAUGAUGGGGGCAUUUUCUAAUCAAUUUCUUUAAUCUCUUCUAAGUCUUAUGAAUUAUCUCCCCAUCCAACUAGGAAAAACUAGUUAUGGCCUUUCUGAUUU